rnacentral:sRNA from 1 species
UAUUGUUUAGGUUGUCUGGUGAACGUG